rnacentral:rRNA from 1 species
GACGAACGCUGGCGGCGUGCUUAACACAUGCAAGUCGAACGGAAAGGCCCUGCUUUUGUGGGGUGCUCGAGUGGCGAACGGGUGAGUAACACGUGAGUAACCUGCCCUUGACUUUGGGAUAACUUCAGGAAACUGGGGCUAAUACCGGAUAGGAGCUCCUGCUGCAUGGUGGGGGUUGGAAAGUUUCGGCGGUUGGGGAUAGACUCGCGGCUUAUCAGCUUGUUGGUGGGGUAGUGGCUUACCAAGGCUUUGACGGGUAGCCGGCCUGAGAGGGUGACCGGCCACAUUGGGACUGAGAUACGGCCCAGACUCCUACGGGAGGCAGCAGUGGGGAAUAUUGCACAAUGGGCGGAAGCCUGAUGCAGCAACGCCGCGUGCGGGAUGACGGCCUUCGGGUUGUAAACCGCUUUCGCCCGUGACGAAGCGUGAGUGACGGUAAUGGGUAAAGAAGCACCGGCUAACUACGUGCCAGCAGCCGCGGUGAUACGUAGGGUGCGAGCGUUGUCCGGAUUUAUUGGGCGUAAAGGGCUCGUAGGUGGUUGAUCGCGUCGGAAGUGUAAUCUUGGGGCUUAACCCUGAGCGUGCUUUCGAUACGGGUUGACUUGAGGAAGGUAGGGGAGAAUGGAAUUCCUGGCGGAGCGGUGGAAUGCGCAGAUAUCAGGAGGAACACCAGUGGCGAAGGCGGUUCUCUGGGCCUUUCCUGACGCUGAGGAGCGAAAGCGUGGGGAGCGAACAGGCUUAGAUACCCUGGUAGUCCACGCUGUAAACGGUGGGUACUAGGUGUGGGGUCCAUUCCACGGGUUCCGUGCCGUAGCUAACGCUUUAAGUACCCCGCCUGGGGAGUACGGCCGCAAGGCUAAAACUCAAAGGAAUUGACGGGGCCCCGCACAAGCGGCGGAGCAUGCGGAUUAAUUCGAUGCAACGCGUAGAACCUUACCUGGGUUUGACAUGGAUCGGGAGCGCUCAGAGAUGGGUGUGCCUCUUUUGGGGUCGGUUCACAGGUGGUGCAUGGCUGUCGUCAGCUCGUGUCGUGAGAUGUUGGGUUAAGUCCCGCAACGAGCGCAACCCUUGUUCACUGUUGCCAGCACGUUAUGGUGGGGACUCAGUGGAGACCGCCGGGGUCAACUCGGAGGAAGGUGGGGAUGACGUCAAGUCAUCAUGCCCCUUAUGUCCAGGGCUUCACGCAUGCUACAAUGGCUGGUACAGAGAGUGGCGAGCCUGUGAGGGUGAGCGAAUCUCGGAAAGCCGGUCUCAGUUCGGAUUGGGGUCUGCAACUCGACCUCAUGAAGUCGGAGUCGCUAGUAAUCGCAGAUCAGCAACGCUGCGGUGAAUACGUUCCCGGG